rnacentral:lncRNA from 1 species
GAAAUGCAGAACUUUGAUGAUGUAUUGAGAGGAGAUACAAACAAUUACAGUAAUGUGACAGAGCUAGAAUUUGAAUCCAGCUGUGUAUUAUUCCACUAAAGCAUGACACAUGUGGCAAAG